GGAAACCCUGGACUUUUUCUUGGAGGAAGAAGGAGCUACAGCAGCAGUCGCCCGACGCCUGCUACUACCAGCAAACUGGACCUCUUCAUCUUCAACAGGAGCAAUUCGCUUGACUGCGGCUUUCCUUGCAGACAUUGCCUCAAGAGCUUUCUGAUAUUCCGCCAAGGCCUCAUCACCUCUAGAACCCCACAUCACACCUGAAAGACAGAGCCAACCUUGCUUGAAUUCGUAGAAGGAAAACAGGAGAAACUAAGAUAGAAAAGCUUACCUCUAAUGCUACACCGAUCUAGAGCUUUGUCGCUUACAAGGAAAGACACUUCACGGCGUUCGAGGGGAAGCUCCAACAGCUGCUCGACCAUAUCCCUUUCUGAAGGAUAAUCCGAGAGGGAUAUGACUGCAUAAGAAAACAAAAAAAAAAACACAUCAGCAUCAGACAGGUAAAGAGAAUCUAUGACCCAUCAGCUGCACACAAAGUGGGAGAGAAUCCGGGAAAAGGCAUAAAAGCAAACUUCGAAGUCCAACGCCCCUCGAAGAUGGGGCAACGUUUUCUCUCAGCCUUCAAAAGCUCCCACACAGGAAGCGCUUUUCCACGAGGACGCAAAUGAUAUCUAAACUCCCCACCGCUCAGAGGAGAGAUAGAAUACCAAUCUAGAACCUCAGCGACUCAACGGUAAAACCCUAAAGAUCACCAAGAUUCUUCAUAGCUAUCAAGGUCCUCCAAGAAGGAGGAUUCGGCUGCCAAGGGGAAAUCUUCACUGUCUUCGAGAUCUCGGCCACCAAAGAAGGAAUCUGGUCUCGGAAACCCGAUUCGAAGAAACCUUCGUACACAGGGAUCUCACCCAGCUCAAAAUCCGAAACUCUAUCAAAAGGACCAGGGAUCCGGAUGGUAUCAUCUUCGGGAAGACGAAACUUCCUUCUCCAGUUUGC
rnacentral:lncRNA from 1 species